rnacentral:rRNA from 1 species
GCCGACUCAGAAACUCAAAGGAAUUGACGGGGCCGCACAAGCGGUGGAGUAUGUGGUUUAAUUCGAUGCAACGCGAAGAACCUUACCUGGUCUUGACAUCCCGGAGACCCUUAGGAACUAGGGGUGCUUCCAUCUGGAAGAAUCUGGAGACAGGUGCUGCAUGGCUGUCGUCAGCUCGUGUCGUGAGAUGUUGGGUUAAGUCCCGCAACGAGCGCAACCCUUGCCUUUAGUUGCCAGCAGUUCGGCUGGGCACUCUAAAGGGACUGCCGGUGUUAAACCGGAGGAAGGUGGGGAUGACGUCAAGUCCUCAUGGCCUUUAUGACCAGGGCUACACACGUACUACAAUGGCCGAUACAAAGGGCAGCGACACUGCGAGGUGAAGCCAAUCCCGUAAAAUCGGUCUCAGUCCGGAUUGGAGUCUGCAACUCGACUCCAUGAAGUUGGAAUCGCUAGUAAUCGUGGAUCAGCAUGCCACGGUGAAUACGUUCCCGGGCCUU